rnacentral:rRNA from 1 species
AUUGAACGCUGGCGGCAUGCUUUACACAUGCAAGUCGAACGGCAGCGCGGGCUUCGGCCUGGCGGCGAGUGGCGAACGGGUGAGUAAUGCAUCGGAACGUGCCCAGUAGUGGGGGAUAGCCCGGCGAAAGCCGGAUUAAUACCGCAUACGACCUGAGGGUGAAAGCGGGGGACCGAAAGACCUCGCGCUAUUGGAGCGGCCGAUGUCGGAUUAGCUAGUUGGUGGGGUAAAGGCUUACCAAGGCGACGAUCCGUAGCUGGUCUGAGAGGACGACCAGCCACACUGGGACUGAGACACGGCCCAGACUCCUACGGGAGGCAGCAGUGGGGAAUUUUGGACAAUGGGGGCAACCCUGAUCCAGCCAUGCCGCGUGCGGGAAGAAGGCCUUCGGGUUGUAAAGCGCUUUUGUUCGGGAAGAAAUCCUCUGGGCUAAUACCCCGGGGGGAUGACGGUACCGGAAGAAUAAGCACCGGCUAACUACGUG